rnacentral:misc_RNA from 1 species
UCUCCGUUGGUGAACCAGCGGAGGGAUCAUUACAGGACUCGCAAGACUACUACAACCCUGUGAACUUAACUACAAGCACGUUGCUUCCGCGGGUGUCUCGGAGGGGGGUCUCCCUCCCCGACACGCUAAGCCCGCCGGCAGCCUCCUAUACUCUGUCUCUUAGCGUUGGCAUCUCGAGUACAAUCAAACAAGUUAAAACUUUCAACAACGGAUCUCUUGGUUCUG